rnacentral:lncRNA from 1 species
GGAGAUCGUAAAACAAAACGAUCAUAGUCAUAGAAUUAAAUCGUAAUAUAUACGAUGAGAUCACCCCGUGAUCUAUUAAGGUUAUGACAACCAGAAAGAAUCAAUCUGAUGAUUGAAAAGUUUAAAGCAUGAUUGCUGUGUGAAUGGUACAGAUUCAGAAAAGGAUUAUGAAUACGGAUUAAAUGAAAUUCGUAUUGAGAAGGGGGUUAAGUAUUAGGUGGGGAUUUCAAUGAGGACUCGUGUCGGCAACUGAGUUGUAUGAUUUCUUGUAUGGGCGGGGAAUCGUACUUGGUGUAAAAACUACUUAGUUGGUGGCAUUGGUAAUAAUUGAAAUGUUGUGUCACGCUAGUUGUUAUAUACAGAUAAAUAGGUCAUAGGUAGAGAAUAUAGGAUUAAGUACGAGUUCUUAGAACUCAUACUUAUGUGACAUUCUUGACUCAUAGUUAUAUGAAAUGUUUAUGAGCCCCUCAGCGAACGGACGCCAAAGGUCAGACUAGGGUAAGUUCGUAAACUCAUAUAAUUGUGGCCAGGUUAUGAACUCAUAAGUGUGGUUUUAUGAACUGGGUAUAGUUGUGUGUGAAUGGAGUGUUAAGGAUUAUAGGAACAGAUAGAUUGUUAAGCAUAUGAUCAUUAGUGGAGAUUUAGGUUUUCCUAAACCCCUAGCUUUGCUAAACUUCAAUUUUUGAC